rnacentral:rRNA from 1 species
GACGAACGCUGGCGGCGUGCUUAACACAUGCAAGUCGAACGGAAAGGCCCUGCUUUUGUGGGGUGCUCGAGUGGCGAACGGGUGAGUAACACGUGAGUAACCUGCCCUUGACUUUGGGAUAACUUCAGGAAACUGGGGCUAAUACCGGAUAGGAUCUCCUGCUGCAUGGUGGGGGUUGGAAAGUUUCGGCGGUUGGGGAUGGACUCGCGGCUUAUCAGCUUGUUGGUGGGGUAGUGGCUUACCAAGGCUUUGACGGGUAGCCGGCCUGAGCGGGUGACCGGCCACAUUGGGCCUGGGCUACGGCACAGACUCGUACGGGACGCGGCAGUGGAGAGUAUUGCCCAAUGGGAGGAAGCCUGAUGCAGCAACGCCGCGUGCGGGAUAACGGCCUUCGGGUUGUAAACCGAUUUCGCCUGUGCCGAAGCGUGAGUGACGGUAAUGGGUAAAGAAGCACCGGCUAACUACGUG